CACGCCCUAAACGAUGUCAAUUAGCUGUUGGGGGUUUGAAUCCUUGGUAGCGUAGCUAACGCGUGAAAUUGACCGCCUGGGGAGUACGGCCGCAAGGUUAAAACUCAAAGGAAUUGACGGGGACCCGCACAAGCGGUGGAUGAUGUGGAUUAAUUCGAUGCAACGCGAAAAACCUUACCUGCUCUUGACAUGUACCGAACCUCUGAGAGAUUAGAGGGUGCCCGAAAGGGAGCGGUAACACAGGUGC
rnacentral:rRNA from 1 species